rnacentral:sRNA from 1 species
GUGCAAGCAAGUGGUCUAGGGUUCCUACUUGAGCUUGGUUGUCUACACUAGAGUAGGUGAUGAUGUACCAUUGGAGCAAGCUUUGGAGGUUGAAGAAGACCCAGCCCCUAGUACUUAGGCCUUCUACUAGCUCUUAGUUGAUUAGCUUGUUAUUUUGAAAAACUCCUAGCUUUUAUUUUAUAUAGUUCGACACUUUUGGAAAACUUUUU